CACGUAGGGCGCAAGCGUUGUCCGGAAUUAUUGGGCGUAAAGAGCUCGUAGGCGGUCUGUUGCGUCCGCUGUGAAAACACGGGGCUUAACCCCGUGCCUGCUUCCGAUACGGGCAGACUAGAGGUAUGCAGGGGAGAACGGAAUUCCUGGUGUAGCGGUGAAAUGCGCAGAUAUCAGGAGGAACACCAAUGGCGAAGGCAGCUCGCUGGGACGGUACUGACGCUGAGACGCGAAAGCGUGGGGAGCAAACAGG
rnacentral:rRNA from 1 species